rnacentral:ncRNA from 1 species
AAAACGGCCCUUAUCAGGGCCACCAAAAUUUUUAACAACAACAUU